rnacentral:lncRNA from 1 species
CUAACACUCAGGAAAGGGAUAGGAAGGAAACAGGGCUGGAGAGCAGGUUGAGCCCGACCUGACAGUCUCGAGCAGCCCAACAGGGAGGUGUGGAGCAAGGGUUGCCCACUAGAGGGGCCUGCAUUGGGUACGGGUGAUGGGGUCCACAUGGUACCUGGCAUAUAGCAGGCUGUGCAAUCCAUAUUAACUGACUGGAUAAAUUAAUGCCCAGAAAAGGUGCCCUGGAGAAUGGGUGUGUGCUGAACACAAUAGGGAAGGGCCCAGCAUCUGCCUUGGCAUAGGCAGAACUGUGCUGUGCCCUGCAACAGGCCACCUGAGAGCUGCUUUGAUCUUGUGUGUGCAUUAGACGACUGCCAGGGGCAUGAAGGGGAUGUGCUUCCAGGGCAUUUGCUGGCAGGGCGUCUCGUGAUCUCUUGGUAUUGGUGUGAGCACAGCCUGGCAGGAGAGGGCAGAUCUCCGUGCAAAGUACGUCAGAAAGCAGAUGGAAGCCAGGCCCCCUCCUGAAAGAGGCUCCUUGAAGAUAAUUCUAACAUCUUUGUCAUCAGUGUUGACAUCUCUUGAUUGUAUCCUGUCAUUCCAUUUGAGAUCUUCCUGGUUCUGGCUGGCAUCCUCUGACAUCACUCCAGCAGAAGAAAGGGAAGGAACACGCUGCAUUACUGCGUGGUGAGUGCAGUAGUCUACCUUCGCCACAUGGCCUCCAUUGAUCCCUGAAAUGGGUGAGGGGCUUCUUGUUUCUGCUGGGCAGGAGUGGACUUUUUGGAUCUGAUCUGGGGCUGUACUCAUACCUUUGUGGCUGGGAGGGUUCGAUAUUUUUCAGCACUGUAUCCAAUAUCACCUGCACAGACACCUUAGGGGAUGGGGACUUGCUGUUGCCUGGCAGGGAUGAAAGUGCCAGCUCCCUAAUUGGCCACCUCCGACAGCACCAAGGUAGACAGGAGGGAUGUUACAGCUGAGCAAGCAUGUUACACUGAGCCCCCUAGUUGGCCUUUGCUGGCAUGUGUGGAAGUGGGGAUCAAACUAUAUUUCUGUGGCGUUAACUAGAGUAAAGCAGCUCACUGUCUAAAAGUUUUCUAUCUUGCUAAGUCACAACUUUCCUGGUCCUCUGGCUUUGGUCCUUCUUUCCUCCCUCCCUUCCCAUCCCCCUUUCCUCCCUCUUUUCCUU